rnacentral:rRNA from 1 species
ACGGAGGGUGCGAGCGUUAAUCGGAAUUACUGGGCGUAAAGCGCACGCAGGCGGUUUGUUAAGCAAGAUGUGAAAGCCCCGGGCUCAACCUGGGAACUGCAUUUUGAACUGGCAGACUAGAGUCUUGGAGAGGGGGGGUGGAAUUCCAGGUGUAGCGGUGAAAUGCGUAGAGAUCUGGAGGAACAUCAGUGGCGAAGGCGGCCCCCUGGCCAAAAGCACUGACGCUCAUGGUGCGAAAAGUGUGGGGAGCGAAACAGGAUUGAGAUACCCCCUGUAGUCC